UUAAGCGACUAAGCGUACACGGUGGAUGCCCUGGCAGUCAGAGGCGAUGAAGGACGUGCUAAUCUGCGAAAAGCGUCGGUAAGGUGAUAUGAACCGUUAUAGCCGGCGAUGUCCGAAUGGGGAAACCCAGUGUGAUUCGUCACACUAUCGUUAACUGAAUACAUAGGUUAACGAGGCGAACCGGGGGAACUGAAACAUCUAAGUACCCCGAGGAAAAGAAAUCAACCGAGAUUCCCCCAGUAGCGGCGAGCGAACGGGGAGCAGCCCAGAGUCUGAAUCAGCUUGUGUGUUAGUGGAACGGUCUGGAAAGUCCGACGGUACAGGGUGAUAGUCCCGUACACCAAAAUGCACAGGCUGUGAACUCGAAGAGUAGGGCGGGACACGUGGUAUCCUGUCUGAAUAUGGGGGGACCAUCCUCCAAGGCUAAAUACUCCUGACUGACCGAUAGUGAACCAGUACCGUGAGGGAAAGGCGAAAAGAACCCCGGCGAGGGGAGUGAAAAAGAACCUGAAACCGUGUACGUACAAGCAGUGGGAGCACCUUCGGGUGUGACUGCGUACCUUUUGUAUAAUGGGUCAGCGACUUAUAUUCUGUAGCAAGGUUAACCGUAUAGGGGAGCCGCAGGGAAACCGAGUCUUAACUGGGCGUUAAGUUGCAGGGUAUAGACCCGAAACCCGGUGAUCUAGCCAUGGGCAGGUUGAAGGUUGGGUAACACUAACUGGAGGACCGAACCGACUAAUGUUGAAAAAUUAGCGGAUGACUUGUGGCUGGGGGUGAAAGGCCAAUCAAACCGGGAGAUAGCUGGUUCUCCCCGAAAGCUAUUUAGGUAGCGCCUCGUGAACUCAUCUUCGGGGGUAGAGCACUGUUUCGGCUAGGGGGUCAUCCCGACUUACCAACCCGAUGCAAACUACGAAUACCGAAGAAUGUUAUCACGGGAGACACACGGCGGGUGCUAACGUCCGUCGUGAAGAGGGAAACAACCCAGACCGCCAGCUAAGGUCCCAAAGUCAUGGUUAAGUGGGAAACGAUGUGGGAAGGCACAGACAGCCAGGAUGUUGGCUUAGAAGCAGCCAUCAUUUAAAGAAAGCGUAAUAGCUCACUGGUCGAGUCGGCCUGCGCGGAAGAUGUAACGGGGCUAAACCAUGCACCGAAGCUGCGGCAGCGACACUAUGUGUUGUUGGGUAGGGGAGCGUUCUGUAAGCCUGCGAAGGUGUGCUGUGAGGCAUGCUGGAGGUAUCAGAAGUGCGAAUGCUGACAUAAGUAACGAUAAAGCGGGUGAAAAGCCCGCUCGCCGGAAGACCAAGGGUUCCUGUCCAACGUUAAUCGGGGCAGGGUGAGUCGACCCCUAAGGCGAGGCCGAAAGGCGUAGUCGAUGGGAAACAGGUUAAUAUUCCUGUACUUGGUGUUACUGCGAAGGGGGGACGGAGAAGGCUAUGUUAGCCGGGCGACGGUUGUCCCGGUUUAAGCAUGUAGGCUGGUUAUCCAGGCAAAUCCGGAUAAUCAAGGCUGAGGUGUGAUGACGAGGCACUACGGUGCUGAAGUAACAAAUGCCCUGCUUCCAGGAAAAGCCUCUAAGCAUCAGGUAACAUCAAAUCGUACCCCAAACCGACACAGGUGGUCAGGUAGAGAAUACCAAGGCGCUUGAGAGAACUCGGGUGAAGGAACUAGGCAAAAUGGUGCCGUAACUUCGGGAGAAGGCACGCUGGUGUGUAGGUGAAGCCCCUGCGGGUGGAGCUGAGACCAGUCGAAGAUACCAGCUGGCUGCAACUGUUUAUUAAAAACACAGCACUGUGCAAACACGAAAGUGGACGUAUACGGUGUGACGCCUGCCCGGUGCCGGAAGGUUAAUUGAUGGGGUUAUCCGUAAGGAGAAGCUCUUGAUCGAAGCCCCGGUAAACGGCGGCCGUAACUAUAACGGUCCUAAGGUAGCGAAAUUCCUUGUCGGGUAAGUUCCGACCUGCACGAAUGGCGUAAUGAUGGCCAGGCUGUCUCCACCCGAGACUCAGUGAAAUUGAACUCGCUGUGAAGAUGCAGUGUACCCGCGGCAAGACGGAAAGACCCCGUGAACCUUUACUAUAGCUUGACACUGAACAUUGAGCCUUGAUGUGUAGGAUAGGUGGGAGGCUUUGAAGCGUGGACGCCAGUCUGCGUGGAGCCAACCUUGAAAUACCACCCUUUAAUGUUUGAUGUUCUAACGUUGGCCCCUUACCGGGGUUGCGGACAGUGUCUGGUGGGUAGUUUGACUGGGGCGGUCUCCUCCCAAAGCGUAACGGAGGAGCACGAAGGUUAGCUAAUCCUGGUCGGACAUCAGGAGGUUAGUGCAAUGGCAUAAGCUAGCUUGACUGCGAGCGUGACGGCGCGAGCAGGUGCGAAAGCAGGUCAUAGUGAUCCGGUGGUUCUGAAUGGAAGGGCCAUCGCUCAACGGAUAAAAGGUACUCCGGGGAUAACAGGCUGAUACCGCCCAAGAGUUCAUAUCGACGGCGGUGUUUGGCACCUCGAUGUCGGCUCAUCACAUCCUGGGGCUGAAGUAGGUCCCAAGGGUAUGGCUGUUCGCCAUUUAAAGUGGUACGCGAGCUGGGUUUAGAACGUCGUGAGACAGUUCGGUCCCUAUCUGCCGUGGGCGCUGGAGAAUUGAGGGGGGCUGCUCCUAGUACGAGAGGACCGGAGUGGACGCAUCACUGGUGUUCGGGUUGUCAUGCCAAUGGCACUGCCCGGUAGCUAAAUGCGGAAGAGAUAAGUGCUGAAAGCAUCUAAGCACGAAACUUGCCCCGAGAUGAGUUCUCCCUGAGACUUUAAGUCUCCUGAAGGAACGUUAAAGACGAUGACGUUGAUAGGCCGGGUGUGUAAGCGCAGCGAUGCGUUGAGCUAACCGGUACUAAUGAACCGUGAGGCUUAACCUU
rnacentral:rRNA from 2 species